rnacentral:rRNA from 1 species
AUACGGAGGGGGCUAGCGUUGUUCGGAAUUACUGGGCGUAAAGCGCGCGUAGGCGGACCAGUCAGUCAGGGGUGAAGUCCCGGGGCUCAACCCCGGAACUGCCUUUGAUACUGCUGGUCUUGAGUUCGAGAGAGGUGAGUGGAAUUCCGAGUGUAGAGGUGAAAUUCGUAGAUAUUCGGAGGAACACCAGUGGCGAAGGCGGCUCACUGGCUCGAUACUGACGCUGAGGUGCGAAAGCGUGGGGAGCAAACAGGAUUAGAAACCCUAGUAGUCC